GAUGAACGCUGGCGGCGUGCCUAAUACAUGCAAGUCGAGCGAAAAGAUGAGGAGCUUUCCUCUCUCACUUUCGCGGCGGACGCGUGAGUAACACGUGUAUAACCUACCUAUAAGACUGGGAUAACUUCGGGAAACCGGUGCUUAUACCGGCUAAUUUUUUCAACACCAUGGUUCAGUAGUUACAGACCUUUUUGCUGUCACUGAUCGAUGGUGCCGCGCCGGAUUAGCUAGUUGGUCGGGUAACGGCUGACCAAGGCGACGAUGCGUAGCCGACCUGAGAGGAUGAUCGGCCACACUGGAACUGAGACACGGUCCAGACUCCUACGGGAGGCAGCAGUGGGGAAUAUUGCACAAUGGGCGCAAGCCUGAUGGAGCAACGCCGCGUGAAUGAUGAAGGCCUUCGGAUCGUAAAGCUCUUUUAGUGGGGAGGAACAAAGGUAUAUGAAACCAUGUGCGCAUUGACGUUACCUGAUCAAGAAGCCACGGCUAACUCCGUG
rnacentral:rRNA from 1 species